CAAAUGUUCUUCGUGAACAUGGCGUACUGCUCAGUAACACGUGGAUAACCUGCCCUUAGGUCUGGCAUAACCCCGGGAAACUGGGGAUAAUUCCGGAUAGAUCAUGGAUGCUGGAAUGCACCGUGGUCGAAAGCUUUUGUGCCUAAGGAUGGGUCUGCGGUCUAUCAGGUUGUAGUGGGUGUAACGUACCUACUAGCCUACGACGGAUACGGGUUGUGGGAGCAAGAGCCCGGAGAUGGAUUCUGAGACAUGAAUCCAGGCCCUACGGGGCGCAGCAGGCGCGAAAACUUUACAAUGCGGGAAACCGCGAUAAGGGGACACCGAGUGCCAGCAUCCUAUGUUGGCUGUCCAUAUGUAUAAAUAACAUGUGUUAGCAAGGGCCGGGCAAGACCGGUGCCAGCCGCCGCGGUAACACCGGCGGCCCGAGUGGUGGCCACUAUUAUUGGGUCUAAAGGGUCCGUAGCCGGUUUGGUCAGUCUUCCGGGAAAUCUGACGGCUUAACCGUUAGGCUUUCGGGGGAUACUGCCAGGCUUGGGACCGGGAGAGGUAAGAGGUACUACGGGGGUAGGAGUGAAAUCUUGUAAUCCCUGUGGGACCACCAGUGGCGAAGGCGUCUUACCAGAACGGGUCCGACGGUAGGGACGAAAGCUGGGGGCACGAACCGGAUUAGAUACCCGGGUAGUCCCAGCCGUAAACUAUGCUCGCUAGGUGUCAGGGACGGUGCGACCGUUUCUGGUGCCGUAGGGAAGCCGUGAAGCGAGCCACCUGGGAAGUACGGUCGCAAGGCUGAAACUUAAAGGAAUUGGCGGNCNNGCACUACAACGGGUGGAGCCUGCGGUUU
rnacentral:rRNA from 1 species